rnacentral:rRNA from 1 species
GACGAACGCUGGCGGCGUGCUUAACACAUGCAAGUCGAACGGAAAGGCCCUGCUUGCCGGGUGCUCGAGUGGCGAACGGGUGAGUAACACGUGGGUGAUCUGCCCCUUAUUUUGGGAUAAGCCUGGGAAACUGGGUCUAAUACUGGAUAGGACCAUGCUGUAGGUGGUGUGGUGGAAAGAUUAGUUUCGGUAAGGGAUGAGCUCGCGGCCUAUCAGCUUGUUGGUGGGGUAAUGGCCUACCAAGGCGUCGACGGGUAGCCGGCCUGAGAGGGUGGACGGCCACAUUGGGACUGAGAUACAGCCCAGACUCCUACGGGAGGCAGCAGUGGGGAAUAUUGCACAAUGGGCGCAAGCCUGAUGCAGCGACGCCGCGUGGGGGAUGACGGCCUUCGGGUUGUAAACUCCUUUCAGCCAUGACGAAGCCCUUGUGGUGACGGUAGUGGUAGAAGAAGCACCGGCUAACUACGUG